rnacentral:rRNA from 1 species
AUUGAACGCUGGCGGCAGGCCUAACACAUGCAAGUCGAACGAGUGGCGGACGGGUGAGUAAUGUCUGGGAAACUGCCCGAUGGAGGGGGAUAACUACUGGAAACGGUAGCUAAUACCGCAUACCAUCGGAUGUUCCCAGAUGGGAUUAGCUAGUAGGUGGGGUACAGGCUCACCUAGGCGACGAUCCCUAGCUGGUCUGAGAGGAUGACCAGCCACACUGGAACUGAGAAACGGUCCAGACUCCGACGGGAGGCAGCAGUGGGGAAUAUUGCACAAUGGGCGCAAGCCUGAUGCAGCCAUGCCGCGUGUAUGAAGAAGGCCGUCGGGUUGUAAAGUACUUUCAGCGGGGAGGCGUUACCCGCAGAAGAAGCACCGGCUAACUCCGUGCCAGCCGCCGCGGUAAUUC